rnacentral:rRNA from 1 species
GGUUGAAGGUUGGGUAACACUAACUGGAGGACCGAACCGACUAAUGUUGAAAAAUUAGCGGAUGACUUGUGGCUGGGGGUGAAAGGCCAAUCAAACCGGGAGAUAGCUGGUUCUCCCCGAAAGCUAUUUAGGUAGCGCCUCGUGAAUUCAUCUCCGGGGGUAGAGCACUGUUUCGGCAAGGGGGUCAUCCCGACUUACCAACCCGAUGCAAACUGCGAAUACCGGAGAAUGUUAUCACGGGAGACACACGGCGGGUGCUAACGUCCGUCGUGAAGAGGGAAACAACCCAGACCGCCAGCUAAGGUCCCAAAGUCAUGGUUAAGUGGGAAACGAUGUGGGAAGGCCCAGACAGCCAGGAUGUUGGCUUAGAAGCAGCCAUCAUUUAAAGAAAGCGUAAUAGCUCACUGGUCGAGUCGGCCUGCGCGGAAGAUGUAACGGGGCUAAACCAUGCACCGAAGCUGCGGCAGCGACGCUGAUGCGUUGUUGGGUAGGGGAGCGUUCUGUAAGCCUGUGAAGGUGUGCUGUGAGGCAUGCUGGAGGUAUCAGAAGUGCGAAUGCUGACAUAAGUAACGAUAAAGCGGGUGAAAAGCCCGCUCGCCGGAAGACCAAGGGUUCCUGUCCAACGUUAAUCGGGGCAGGGUGAGUCGACCCCUAAGGCGAGGCCGAAAGGCGUAGUCGAUGGGAAACAGGUUAAUAUUCCUGUACUUGGUGUUACUGCGAAGGGGGGACGGAGAAGGCUAUGUUGGCCGGGCGACGGUUGUCCCGGUUUAAGCGUGUAGGCUGGUUUUCCAGGCAAAUCCGGAAAAUCAAGGCUGAGGCGUGAUGACGAGGCACUACGGUGCUGAAGCAACAAAUGCCCUGCUUCCAGGAAAAGCCUCUAAGCAUCAGGUAACAUCAAAUCGUACCCCAAACCGACACAGGUGGUCAGGUAGAGAAUACCAAGGCGCUUGAGAGAACUCGGGUGAAGGAACUAGGCAAAAUGGUGCCGUAACUUCGGGAGAAGGCACGCUGAUAUGUAGGUGAAGCGACUUGCUCGUGGAGCUGAAAUCAGUCGAAGAUACCAGCUGGCUGCAACUGUUUAUUAAAAACACAGCACUGUGCAAACACGAAAGUGGACGUAUACGGUGUGACGCCUGCCCGGUGCCGGAAGGUUAAUUGAUGGGGUCAGCGCAAGCGAAGCUCUUGAUCGAAGCCCCGGUAAACGGCGGCCGUAACUAUAACGGUCCUAAGGUAGCGAAAUUCCUUGUCGGGUAAGUUCCGACCUGCACGAAUGGCGUAAUGAUGGCCAGGCUGUCUCCACCCGAGACUCAGUGAAAUUGAACUCGCUGUGAAGAUGCAGUGUACCCGCGGCAAGACGGAAAGACCCCGUGAACCUUUACUAUAGCUUGACACUGAACAUUGAGCCUUGAUGUGUAGGAUAGGUGGGAGGCUUUGAAGUGUGG